ACGCUCAAGUCUCUCCUCAGUCGUUGCGAGCUAAUCUUUCGCCUUUUACUAAAGGUUACCGUGGGGAGGGACCGUAAUGAGCCUUCAGGCCAAUUUUUGGAAGGCCUUGCCUUUUCGGGUGAGG